AGUGGGAUAGCUGAGUCAAAUGGUGGUUCUAUUGCAAGUUUUCUAAGUAAUCUCCAUACUGCUUUCCAGAUUGAUUGCACCAAUUUGCAAUCCCACCAGCAGU
rnacentral:pre_miRNA from 1 species